GUUCGAUCAUGGCUCAGAUUGAACGCUGGCUGGAUACUUUACACAUGCAAGUCGAACGGCACGGACUUCGGUCUGGUGGCGAGUGGCGAACGGGUGAGUAAUGUAUCGGAACGUGCCUAGUAGCGGGGAUAACUACGCGAAAGCGUAGCUAAUACCGCAUACAGCCCUUCGGGGAAAGCGGGGGACCUUCGGGCCUCGCACUAUUAGAGCGGCCGAUAUCGAUUAGCUAAUGGUGGGGUAACGGCUCACUAAGGCGACGAUCCGUAGCUGGUUUGAGAGGACGACCAGCCACACUGGGACUGAGACACGGCCCAGACUCCUACGGGAGGCAGCAGUGGGGAAUUUUGGACAAUGGGGGAAACCCCGAUCCGCGCCAUCCGGCGUGUGCGAUGAAGGCCUUCGGGUUGUAAAGCACUUUUGGCAGGAAAGAAAAUGGCACGGAUAAUACCCCGUGCGACUGACGGUACCUGCAGAAUAAGCACCGCCAAUCCACAGCCAGCAGCCGCGGUAGAUACGUAGGCAAGCGUUAAUCGGAAUUACCGGGCGUAAAGCGUGCGCAGGCGGCUCCGGAAAGAAAGAUGUGGAAAUCCCAGAGCUUAACUUUUUGAACUGCAUUUUUAACUACCGAGCUAGAGUGUGUCAGGGAGGGAGGUGGAAUUCCGCGUGUAGCAGUGAAAUGCGUAGAUAUGCGCGGAGGAACACCGAUGGCGAAGGCAGCUCUGGGAUAACACCGACGCUCAUGCACGAAAGCGUGGGGAGCAAACAGGAUUAGAUACUCCCGGCAGUAGUCCACGCCCUAAACGAUGUCAACUAGCUGUUGGGGCUCUUCGGGCCUGGUGGCGCAGCUAACGGGUGCGAAGUUGACCGCCUGGGGAGUACGGUCGCAAGAUUGUGUGCAAACCUAAAGGAAUUGACGGGGACCCGCACAAGCGGUGGAUGAUGUGGACUUCAAUUCGAUGCAACGCGAAAAACCUUUACCUACCCUUGACAUGUCUGGAAUCCCGAAGAGAUUUGGGAGAUAAGCCAAAAGAGAACCGAACACAGGUGCUGCAUGGUUGUCGUCAGCUCGUGUCGAGAUGUUGCCAGUUAAGUCCCAACGAGCGCAACCCCUUGUCAUUAGUUACGAAAGGGCAACUCAUCGAGACUUGUUGCGACAAACCGGAGGAAGGUGGGGAUGACGUCAAGUCUCAUGGCCCUUAUGGGUAGGGCUUCGACACGUCAAGCAAUGGUCGGGACAGGUGGUCGCCAACCCGGCGAGGGGGAGCCAAUCCCAGAAACCCGAUCGUAGUCCGGAUCGCAGUCUGCAACUCGACUGCGUGAAGUUUGGAAUCGCUAGUAAUCGCGGAUCAGCAUGUCGCGGUGAAUACGUUCCCGGGUCUUGUACACACCGCCCGUCACACCACAUGGGAGUGGGCUUUACCAGAAGUAGUUAGCCUAACCGUAAGGAGUGGCGAUUACCAUGGUAGGAUUCAUGACUGGGGUGAAGUCAACAAGGUAGC
rnacentral:rRNA from 1 species